rnacentral:rRNA from 1 species
AGCGAACGCUGGCGGCAGGCCUAACACAUGCAAGUCGAACGAACCCUUCGGGGUUAGUGGCGGACGGGUGAGUAACAUGUGGGAACGUGCCUUUAGGUUCGGAAUAACUCAGGGAAACUUGUGCUAAUACCGAAUGUGCCCUUCGGGGGAAAGAUUUAUCGCCUUUAGAGCGGCCCGCGUCUGAUUAGCUAGUUGGUGAGGUAAUGGCUUACCAAGGCUACGAUCAGUAGCUGGUCUGAGAGGAUGACCAGCCACAUUGGGACUGAGACACGGCCCAAACUCCUACGGGAGGCAGCAGUGGGGAAUCUUGCGCAAUGGGCGAAAGCCUGACGCAGCCAUGCCGCGUGGAUGAUGAAGGUCUUAGGAUUGUAAAAUCCUUUCACCGGUGAAGAUAAUGACUGUAGCCGGAGAAGAAGCCCCGGCUAACUUCGUGCCAGCCGCCGCAGUAACAC